rnacentral:rRNA from 1 species
GAUGAACGCUGGCGGCGUGCCUAAUACAUGCAAGUCGAGCGAACGGACGAGAAGCUUGCUUCUCUGAUGUUAGCGGCGGACGGGUGAGUAACACGUGGAUAACCUACCUAUAAGACUGGGAUAACUUCGGGAAACCGGAGCUAAUACCGGAUGAUAUUUUGAACCGCAUGGUUCAAAAGUGAAAGACGGUCUUGCUGUCACUUGUAGAUGGAUCCGCGCUGCAUUAGCUAGUUGGUAAGGUAACGGCUUACCAAGGCAACGAUGCAUAGCCGACCCGAGAGGGUGAUCGGCCACACUGGAACUGAGACACGGUCCAGACUCCUACGGGAGGCAGCAGUAGGGAAUCUUCCGCAAUGGGCGAAAGCCUGACGGAUCAACGCCGCGUGAGUGAUGAAGGUCUUCGGAUCGUAAAACUCUGUUAUUAGGGAAGAACAUAUGUGUAAGUAACUGUGCACAUCUUGACGGUACCUAAUCAGAAAGCCACGGCUAACUACGUG